rnacentral:rRNA from 1 species
UACGUAGGAGGCGAGCGUUGUCCGGAGUUACUGGGCGUAAAGGGUGCGCAGGCGGCGGUGCGCGUGGCGAGAUGAAAUCUCCUGGCUUACCUGGGAGGGUGGUCGCCAGACGGCAUCGCUUGAGGGUCGGAGAGGGGCGUGGAAUUCCGGGUGGAGCGGUGAAAUGCGUUGAUAUCGAUAGGAACUCCGGUGGCGAAGGCGGCAUACUGGACCACCACUGACGCUGAUGCGCGAAAGCCAGGGGAGCAAACGGG